UACGUAGGGUGCAAGCGUUAAUCGGAAUUACUGGGCGUAAAGCGUGCGCAGGCGGUUUGUAAGCCAGAUGUGAAAUCCCCGGGCUCAACCUGGGAACUGCAUUUGUGACUGCAUAGCUAGAGUGCGGUAGAGGGGGAUGGAAUUCCGCGUGUAGCAGUGAAAUGCGUAGAUAUGCGGAGGAACACCGAUGGCGAAGGCAAUCCCCUGGACCUGUACUGACGCUCAUGCACGAAAGCGUGGGUAGCAAACAGG
rnacentral:rRNA from 1 species